GUAAUAUGGUCAAGCUACUAAGGGCGUACGGUGAAUGCCUUGGCGCUAGAAGCCUAUGAAGGACGUGGUAGACUGCGAAAAGCUUCGGGGAGCUGUCUGCGUGCUUUGAUCCGAAGAUAUCCGAAUGAGGAAACUUUUAACGUGUUAACGUUAAGCCGUGGGAUAAAUAAAAUAGUCCUACGGAGACAACCGGGUGAAGUGAAACAUCUCAGUAACCCGAGGAAAAGAGAAUCCCCUUACGGGGAUCAUUUCCCUAGUAGUGGCGAGCGAACGGGAAGGAGUCUAAACCUUUUGCAAUUAUAGCCUGCACGCGUUUUGCAAGAGGUGUCGCGGGACGGUCAUGCUGCUGUGCAAAGCAGCGUCCGAGUUAAAAAUCGUAAUCUAGUCGAAUAUCCUGGAACGGAUAACCAUAGACGGUGAUAGUCCGGUAGACGAAAGAUUUACGGUCUCGGAGACAUGUUCCCAAGUACUGCGGGACACGUGAAAUUCUGCAGGAAUCCGGCCAGACCACUGGCUAAGACUAAAUACUCUCUAGCGACCGAUAGUGAACAAGUACCGCGAGGGAAAGGUGAAAAGAACCCUUAAGAAGGGAGUCAAAAGAACCUGAAACCGUAUGCCUACAAGCAGUCAGAGCCCGCCGCAAGGCGUGGUGAUGGCGUGCCUAUUGGUUAAUGAGCCUGCGAGUUAGUCGGUGUAGCAAGGUUAAGCAGCCUUGAGCUGUGGAGCCGUAGCGAAAGCGAGUGUUAAUAGCGCGAUAGUUACAUCGAUUAGACCCGAAGCCAAGUGAUCUACCCUUGUCCAGGAUGAAGUAAGCGUAACAGCUUAUGGAGGUCCGAACGGGUGAUUGUUGCAAAAAUCUCCGAUGAGGUGAGGGUAGGAGUGAAAAGCUAAUCGAACUUGGUGAUAGCUGGUUCUCCUUGAAAUAGCUUUAAGGCUAGCCUCGAAAUUAUAACAGUGGGGGUAGAGCUCUGAUUGGUCUAUGGGGUUGAAUAAACCUGCAGAAACCAUUCAAACUCCGAAUACCAUUGUGUAGAUUUCGGGAGUCAGAAUAUGAGCGCUAAGGUCCAUAUUCGAGAGGGAAACAGCCCAGACCAUCAGCUAAGGUCCCUAAAUUUAUACUAAGUGGCAAAGGAUGUGAAAUUACUUAAACAGCCAGGAUGUUGGCUUAGAAGCAGCCAUCAUUUAAAGAGUGCGUAACAGCUCACUGGUCGAGUGAUUUUGCGCCGAAAAUGUCCGGGGCUAAAGUAUAGUACCGAAGCUAUGGACUUGUCCCGCAAGGGAAGAGUGGUAAAGGAGCGUUCUAUUGUAGUGUGAAGUGUGACCGAGAGGUUACAUGGACGAAUUAGAAGUGAUGAUGCAGGCAUAAGUAGCGUAAAUCAAAGUGAAAAACUUUGACGCCGUAAAUCUAAGGUUUCCUUGAGCUAGGUUAAUCCUCUCAGGGUAAGUCGGGAACCUAAGUCGAGACCGAAAGGUGUAGAUGAUGGAUAACAGGUUAAUAUUCCUGUACUAUGGUAAAGUCGUUAUCAGCGAUGGGGCGACGCAGUAGGAUAGGUCAGCAUACGGCCGGUAGUGUAUGUCUAAGCUCUUAGGCGGGGUUGCCAGGUAAAUCCGGCGGCUCAUUAAACGCUGAAAAGUGAUGGGUAGUAUACGGGGAGACUUGUAUAUGAAUUGAUUGAUUCCACACUGACGAGAAAUAACCUCUAGUCAGACUUUAUCGUAUCCGUACCGUAAACCGACUCAGGUAGAUGGGUAGAAGAUACCAAGGCGUUCGAGAGAACUUCUGUUAAGGAACUCGGCCUAAUCACCCCGUAACUUCGGGAGAAGGGGUGCAACAUUAGCGUGUAGUUGUUAACUCAGCUAUGCGUGAAGUUGCCGCAGUGAAUAGGCUUGGAUGACUGUUUAACAAAAACACAGGACUCUGCUAACUCGUAAGAGGAUGUAUAGGGUCUGAUGCCUGCCCAGUGCCGGAAGGUCAUGAGGAGAGGUUAGUCGCAAGACGAAGCUUUGAAUCUAAGCCCCGGUAAACGGCGGCCGUAACUAUAACGGUCCUAAGGUAGCGAAAUCCCUCGUCGGGUAAAUUCCGACCUGCAUGAAUGGCACAACAAUCCAGGCACUGUCUCAACAGAAGACUCGGCGAAAUUGUAGUUCCUGUGAAGAUGCAGGAUACCUGCAGCUAGACGAAAAGACCCCAUGAAGCUUUACUGUAACUUGGUACUGGAUUUUGAAUCGAUUUGUAGAGAAUAGGUAGGAGGCGUUGAAGCAUUGCCGCUAGGUGAUGUGGAGCCGAACAGUGGAAUACUACCCUCGUUGUUUUGAGAUCCUAAUCUGAACCGUAAUCCGGUUUGGAGACAAUGCCUGGUGGGCAGUUUAACUGGGGCGGUUUCCUCCUAAAGAGUAACGGAGGUGUACAAAGGUUCCCUCAGCGCGGUUGGAAAUCGCGUGUUGAGUGUAAAGGCAUAAGGGAGCUUAACUGCAAGACCGACGGGUCAAGCAGAUACGAAAGUAGGUCUUAGUGAUCCGGUGAUACCGAGUGGAAGGGUCAUCGCUCAACGGACAAAAGCUACUCUGGGGAUAACAGGCUGAUCGCAUCCAAGAGUUCAUAUCGACGAUGCGGUUUGGCACCUCGAUGUCGGCUCAUCGCAUCCUGGGGGUGAAGUAGCUCCCAAGGGUUUGGCUGUUCGCCAAUUAAAGCGGUACGUGAGCUGGGUUCAAAACGUCGUGAGACAGUUUGGUCUCUAUCUGCUGUGGGCGCAGGAUAUUUGCGGGGAGCUAUUCCUAGUACGAGAGGACCGGAAUGGACGAACCUCUGGUGUAUCGGUUAUCAUGCCAAUGGUAAUGCCGAGUAGCUAUGUUCGGACGAGAUAAACGCUGAAAGCAUAUAAGUGUGAAACUCGCCCCAAGAUUAGAUAUCCCUGAAGGCAACUUAUAGACUAUGAGUUUGAUAGGCCGGGAGUGUAAGGCACGCGAGUGUUUCAGCUAACCGGUACUAAUCUGCCGUUCGGCUUGACCAUAU
rnacentral:rRNA from 3 species